rnacentral:sRNA from 1 species
GUUUCCUGAUCAAGGAACGAUUAAAGGCCCUGGAUAUUUAUCUCCAACACUGAUCUGCUCUAAGUACUCUCUUUUCCAACCAUCACAAUCUGGGAAUUUACAUCUUGAGAGGGCAGCAGCACCAGAUGGAAGAAACUUGGAUUCCAAAAGUCACCAGAUGGAGAUGAGCUCUGGCCAACUUUUAUCAGACUUCAUGCAACUAAGAAGCUCUGAGCUCUUGGUGUUGCAACCAUGCAAAUCCUAGGUAGAGAAGACAGUCUCAAUGAGGUAGUGGCAGUCCUGAAGGAUUUAUUGACAGAGUUAAUGCUG